ACUUCAUGAUUUGGGCAUUGAGAAAGCUUACCAUUAAACCUCUCCCAAGCUUCAAGCAAUGGUUCUCCAUUUAUUUGCCUAAAAUUUACAAUCUCAUCUUACUUUU
rnacentral:snoRNA from 1 species